GGGGUGUCCAGGGGACUGCGGCAGAGGACUGACUCGCAAGAGCAUUUAGAAAAAUGUCACCACCUGUUCAAGCCUAUCCAGACCCGUUGCGGGCAGCACGCUGGUGCGCCCGGGGGAUCGCGGUGGGAAACGCGGCUUUCCAGGAGUCUCCUUAAAGAGACUAUGCAGACUUGAGAGAACCUGACAAAGUUCAAGAACACAAUACACAGGUCAAGAAACCAAGUGCUUGACAUCAAUGUGAAUCUUAACGUCAACACCAUUCUGAAGGACUAGGUAAAGAGAAACUAAAGCGACACCUGGUCCAGCCAUUUCUCUCUGGACUGAGGUCCAUGCUCUGCAAAAUGAGAUUCCAGAGUGUAAUAAAGUGAACAAGCUUUUACUUCA